rfam:Melissococcus plutonius ATCC 35311 DNA, complete genome.
GAAUAGAUUUGUUAGGCGAGACUCCUAUACAAACAUAGGCUACUGCCCAAAAACGUCGAGAGACACCAAUGGGUAGAACAGAAAUUGUCGAUUUAAGGCUUUUUUUAAGGUAGCUAAAAGUUUAAACUUUUUACGUUGUAUAGUGUCAAAACUCAACGAUAGAAUCGAAAA